rnacentral:lncRNA from 1 species
GAUUUACAUUAUUUUAUGAUCUGACAAAAUCUUGUUGACAUAAUUACAUAAAUGAUGAACAUACAUAUAUGCAUACAAUGAAAUAAAUAGGUUAAUUGAUAAGACAACGAUAUUCAGAGGUUUUCUUUAAAGUCAUAUGAAAUGAGUGAGUAGUGAAAAAUAAUGUUUAUCCAAUUCGUGAACCAAUGCAUGUAUAUAUCAUAAACUUAGUCCUCUGUAGACAAUUUUAUCAUUUUUUAAGCAAAUAUAUUGUAUAAUAGUCAAUUUUUUUUCUCUCUGUCUGUUAUGAUUUAACAAAUAUGGCUGCUCAUUAAAUGCCGUGUUUUAAAGCCGAAGUUUACCGAUUGUCACCUUAUAGUAUUAAACAAAUAACAAAAAGCAUGGGUAUUGAGCACGUGUUUAACAUGUACAAUCAGAUAAUUGUUUAUUUUAAUGACAGAUCCAUGCGUAUUGCGAUCACCAGAUUUUUACGAGAAGGGUUACGCUCAGGUCACUAUGCAUACUGAAAAUAUGUCAGCGAAUUGCUUCCUGGAAGCAAGCAAUUAAAAAUAAGUAAACUUCUUCUAAAUGUGUACAAAUUAAAGAAAGUUCCUCAGAAAAAAGUAUAUGUACAUAAGUUGUAUAAUGGAAACUAUUCAUUUAGUUAUAAAAAUCACAUGCAUGAUUUAUUUUAAUUUGAGGUUUCUUAUGACUUUAAGUCAGAUGAUAAUCCUAAUCUUUUGUUUGUAGAGUAAUAAAAAACUAUCAAGAACUGUCAAUCAAUGUCAUUUAGCAGUCUAAUGCGUCUGUAAUGCAAUGAAGUCCUAAUACAUUUACUGAAUUCUGAGGAAAAUUUAAAACCGAAAGUCCCUAAUGAAAUGGCAAAAUAAAAUGACAAAACACUUCAAAUGAAUGGACAACAACUGUCAUAUUCCUGACUUGGUACAGGCAUUUUCAAAUAUAGAAAAUGGUGGAUUGAACCUGGUUCUAUAGCGUUAAACCUCUUAAUACAACCUUUAAUGAUGAUUUUUUUCCAUCAUUGCUUAAUAUAUUGAUUGAUAUAAACAAUAAUUAGCACAAAUUGACAGCAAAACAAGAUUUCCCUUGGAUAAAACAUCGAAGGUGUGUGAAUAAACUCAUUAUAUAUACCAGGAUUAAAAUUAUAUAUUUGCCAGACGCGCGUUUCGUCUACAAAAGACUCAUCAGUGCUCGAAUAAAAAAAUGUUUAAUUUAAAAAAAAAGUACAAAAUUGAAGAGCAUUGAGGACCAAAAAUUCUUUAAAGUUUUGCCAACUACAGCUAAGGUAAUCUAUUCCUGAGGUAGAAAAGCCUUAGUAUUUCAAAAUUCAAAGUUUUGUUAACAGUUAAUUUAUAAUUAUGGACAUAUCAAUGAUAACUCAAGUCAACACAGACGUGCUGGCUACUGGACUGGUGAUACCCUCUUGGAAAUAAAUCUCCACCAGCAGUGGCAUCAACCCAGUUGUUGUAAAAUAAAGCCAGUUAGCUUGAGCAGGUUACAACACUUUUUUAGUAGUCACUGUUAUUAUGAAAUGCAAUUAUUGAUUUUUCACAACCGAAAGUUAAGAUCAGUUUUAUUGAGUAUUGUCAAUUAUAAAGUGAAAUCUAAACUAUUGUUUCUAAACUUGAAAACCACGAAAAUUAAUCCCCAAGAACUUAUUUUUGGAUACAACAAAACAAUGAAAUUUUAACCCCACGAAUAUUAAUGUUUAUCGCUAUUUUGCGCAUUUUUCCUUUUAACUUUUUUUUGUGAUAAUUAUUCAUAUCAUGCUACUUGCUAGAGAUGAAAAAAUAUCGCUAGAAAAUAAGGCGACAUGUGGCAUUACUAAUGAAAUUGACAUAGGUAAAAAAGCAUUAAACAGAUUAUCAUUGGUCAUCUCAACUCGAUUGUUUUUCUUGCUUUCGCCGUACCAGCACAAGCGAGAAAAGCAAUUUUGUUGAGAUGAUCAACAAUAAUCUAUAAUUAUACAGUACUCUUAAAAAAAAUUGAAAAUAAAAAGUGUAUAUUGAAACCUUUUAAACACAAAAGAGAGCCAUUUUUUGAUUAGUCAGACAUUCAUUUUUUUGUAAAACAAAUCCCAAGC